UGUCUCCUGACACUUCAUAUGGUGACAGAAUUUUCGCUUCCUCAGGAAGUUCACAUGAGGCCAUGGUUUGUAGAUGGAGGACCGUGAAGUUAGAUCAUUCCCAUCCAAACCAGCGAAGACAAAGAGAGAUUUUUUUUUUUUUUUCUGUUGGUCUUAGUGCUUUGGGGGCAGGAGUAUUUAGAGGUCAUGCUUCCUUUUUCCUCCCUUCAGUAAUGGCUUGGCCCUUUCUGUCUGAGAAGGGAUCGGUGGCAGCAGAGAGGUACUUCUGUUGGUGCUUCUCCUUCCCUUGUGUUCUUUGGGUCUGCCUGGUGAUUUCUGAGGAAGGCCUUAAGCCCCUUCUCUUUAGUUGAUAUUUGCUCUGGGCCCUGGCAGCCGAUAGAGAGCCUUAGGGUUCCCUCCAGGGGUGCCAAGACUAUCUGCCUCUGUCUUCAAGAAACUCUCCUUUGCAGGCGUUUAUUCGACGAUGCUUGGCCUACCGAAAGGAGGACCGCAUUGAUGUCCAGCAGCUGGCCUGUGAUCCCUACUUGUUGCCUCACAUCCGAAAGUCAGUCUCUACAAGUAGCCCUGCUGGAGCUGCUAUUGCAUCAACCUCUGGGGCGUCCAAUAACAGUUCUUCUAAUUGAGACUGACUCCAAGGCCACAAACUGUUCAACACACACAAAGUGGACAAAUGGCAUUCAGCAGCGGGUUUGGAACAUAGCGAAUCCGAAUGGAUCUGAUGAAACCUGUACCAGGUGCUUUUAUUUUCUUGCUUUUUUCCCAUCCAUAGAGCAUGACAGCAUCGAUUCUCAUUGAGGAGAAACCUUGGGCAGCUCCGGCCAGGCCUUGUAGGAAAAGGCCCCGCCCGAGGUUCCAGCGUCAACGGCCACUGUGUGUGGCUGCUCUGAGUGAGGAAAAAAUUAAAAAGAAAAACUGGUUCCAUGUACUGUGAACUUGAAAACAUGCAGACUCAGGGGGGUCCCUGAUGCAGUGCUUCAGAUGAAGAAUGUGGACUUGAAAAUACAGACUGGGCUAGUCCAGUGUCUAUAUUUAAACUUGUUCUUUUCUUUUAAUAAAGUUUAGGUAACAUCUCCUGAAAAGCUUGUAGCACAAAGGCUCAGCUGGGGAUGGUGUUUGACUUCGGAGGAAAAAAGUUGCUAUUGCCCGUUAAAGGCACUAGAGUUAGUGUUUUAUCCCUAAAUAAUUUCAAUUUUUAAAAACAUGCAGCUUCCCUCUCCCCUUUUUUAUUUUUGAAAGAAUACAUUUGGUCAUAAAGUGAAACCCGUAUUAGCAAGUACGUGGCAAUGUUCAUUCCAAUCAGAUGCAGCUUUCUCCUCCGUCUGGUCUCCUGUUUGCAAUUGCUUCCCUCAUCUCAGUAGGGAAAAAAUUGAGUGGGAGUACUGAGAUGUGUGGGUUUUUGCCAUUGGACAAAGAAUGAGGUUAGAAGACUGCAGCUUGGAGUCUCUCUAGGUUUUCAACUAUUUCUUCACAAUUUGAACACUUGACGGUUGUCCCUUUUAAUUUAUUUGAAGUGCUAUUUUUUUAAAUAAAGGUUCAUCUGUCCAUGCAGUCCUCUUGGAUUCUCUGAAUGUAGUAACUAUGAAGCUAUGCCAAAGGUAGGCAGAAAAUGGGCUUGGGAGCCAGACACUCCAGGGAUCAGUAGUUCCUACCCAUAGUCUUUGUGUGCUUGCUAAAUGGUGUACAUUUCUUGUUAACCACGUUAUUAAAACUUGAUCAGCACAUAAGCUUUCUUCUGUUAGAUCUUUUGGCAGCAAACAACCUUCCCCCCAAGCCUCUGAAUUUUGUGGGUGUGUGGUGGUGUGUGUCUGUGUGUGCAUGUACACACACACUUUGUCUAGCUCACUUUAAAAGAUUCAUCAAAUGGAAUUUUAAAAAUAAUCUGAAAAGAAAUAGAUAUUUCAGGCCGGGCCUGGUGGCUCACGCCUGUAAUCCCAGCACUUUGGGAGGCCGAGGUGGGUGGAUCACGAGGUCGGGAGUUCGAGAUCAGUCUGGUCAACAUGGUGAAACCCCAUCUCUACUAAAAAUACAAAAAUUAGCCUGGCGUGGUGGCAUGUGCCUCUAGUCCCAGCUACCCGGGAGGCUGAGGCAGGAGAAUUUCUGGAACCCAGGAGGCGGAGGUUGCAGUGAGCCGAGAUGGCACCACUGCAAUCCAGCCUAGGCGACAGAAUGAGACUCUGUCUCAGAAAAAAAAAAAAAAAGGAGAAAUAGAUGUUUCAAAUAUGAACAUUCUUUUGGCACCAAUUUUCUUUUUUAAUUUGGUUGUUUCUGAGAUGUAUGAUCAACUGAAGAUGGAGCUGAAAUGGGAGACGGGUGGCCCCACCGUGCCCUUGAAACAGCAGAGCACUCCUCAGUAGAGAGGGAGGGAGCCAAGAGCCUGGACAUGUGGUCGCCAGCUUGGAAUGUUACUGACAUAUGUGGCGAGGGCUUAGCCAGAAAUAUUUAAAGAUGUAGUAUUCCGGCCUGUGAAUUGUCUGGGCAGGGAGGGGGAGUCAGAAAGGGUAGAGAGCUCUCAACUCAUGACUCUAGUGUUCCUUUCACAUGUGAACAGUGUCACUGAUGACACAUUUUCUAGGACCUUCGUUUGUUUUGUGGACCUGCCUCAGUCUCCUCAGUAUCAGGCGAUCUUAAGGGAAGAUGGAGUGUUUCAAAUUGGAGAGAAGUUCAUGGGUAGGUAUCGUCCUGUGGAAUUCUGAAUGCAAGGAAGUCAACCCCAGAGGCCUUGGUACCCCCAGCUUUCUAAAACUACUUUAUUACAAUUUAUAUGUAUAUACCCAUGCACAUAUAAACGUGUGCAUUUAUGUAUGUGUGUAUAGUACCUUUUUUAAAAAAACAUUUCCUCCAAGCUGCUAAGCAAAGGGUCUCCCAGGUCGAGCACAGUGCUGAGAGGAUGGUGUCUGCAUAAUGAAGACAUGGAUGAAGCUGAGACCGUGUUCAAACUCACUGAAAACAAUGAAGUUCUAUUCCUUUUUUCUUCCUCUCCAAUGAUCUUGCAGUUGAUUUGUUUCUUUUUUAAUUUUUUAACAUUUUUUUAACGUUGAAAAAAUGCUGCGUCUUUCUUUAAGCCUUCCCAGUAACUUCCUGCCUUUUUUUUCCCCGUGGGCUUUUAAGUGAAGCUGCAGGAUUUUAUCUUUCAAUCUGCCCUUUCUACCCUUAUCCUAUUGAAAGGAUGCCCUCUUCCCUUGCUUUUUUGGUCUAGGGCCUGUUUGGAGCUAACUAGGCUUGGCUGAGUCUGGGCAAGACCUUCUUCCGAGGCAUGGACAAGCCCCAGAGAACGUGCAGAACAUUGACCUUUCCAUUGACUGUCUUUCAAGCAGCCAGUGAAAUCACUAAGUGGGGUUCUUCCAUGACAUAUUUUGUUAAUAUGGGUUUCACUUUUUCCAAGAAUAGUCCCUUGUUGCCACAAUGUUGAUUUACUUUACACAAUGACAGUAUGUAUUAAUUUGUAAUUAAACCCAUCCAGAUUGUUUUAGCCUUUUCCCAAUGGGGUGGGGGAGGGAAGAAGGAUAUUAAAAUAAGUUUUAAGAAGCAAA
rnacentral:sRNA from 1 species